rnacentral:tRNA from 2 species
GCGGUGGUGGUGGAAUUGGCAGACACGCUAUCUUGAGGGGGUAGUGCCGAAAGGCGUGCGAGUUCGAGUCUCGCCCACCGCACCA